rnacentral:misc_RNA from 1 species
UCCGCUUUACAGCGGCUGUUUGUUCCGAGUCCCCGACUUUACUCGCUGGUAACAGAACAUGAGGGUUGCGCUCGUUGCGGGACUUAACCCAACAUUUCACAACACGAGCUGACGACAGCCAUGCACCACCUGUGAUGCACCCUCGAAGGCGACUGCCUUUCAACAGCUUGCAGCAUCAUGUCAAGCCCUGGUAAGGUUCUUCGCGUUGCAUCGAAUUAAGCCACAUGCUCCACCGCUUGUGCGGGCCCCCGCCAAUUCCUUUGAGUUUCAACCUUGCGGCCGUAGUCCCCAGGCGGUUCACUUAAUGCGUUAGCUGCGGCACUGAGGUUUAACCCCAACACCUAGUGAACAUCGUUUAGGGCCAAGACUAC